rnacentral:rRNA from 1 species
UUUGUCCUACGGGAGGCAGCAGUGGGGAAUAUUGCACAAUGGGGGAAACCCUGAUGCAGCGACGCCGCGUGAGUGAAGAAGUAUUUCGGUAUGUAAAGCUCUAUCAGCAGGGAAGAAAAAAGACGGUACCUGACUAAGAAGCCCCGGCUAACUACGUGCCAGCAGCCGCGGUAAUACGUAGGGGGCAAGCGUUAUCCGGAUUUACUGGGUGUAAAGGGAGCGUAGACGGUAUGGCAAGUCUGUAGUGAAAGCACAGGGCUUAACCAUGGUACUGCUUUGGAAACUGUUAGACU